rnacentral:tRNA from 1 species
UCCCCAGUGGCUCAGUGGUAAAGAAUCUGCCUGCAAUGCAGGAGACCCAGGUUCAAUCCCUGGGUCAGGAA